AGGGGCAUUUAAACGAUGCGAAACUCAUUAUUAACUCAUUAAGAUAAAGAAGAUGAUGAAGAACCUGUUCACGUUGUGGGCGUUGCAGUUUUUCUUUAACGAGAGGCCCAGCCACCUAAUGUGGCUACUGGCCGGAGCCGCCUUGGGGUCUGCGGCCAUUUAUUUCUUUGGCCCACAAAACAGGAGGUCUGGACAAGGUUAGCUGGUGCUGAACUAUAGAGCCCUGUCGCCGGAUCUGAAGGCGAUGUUCCAUUCUUUAAGCAGCAGUUGGACCUCUCUGGUCAUCCAGGGCUUCUGGUCAGGAUAGACUCGGUUUGUCCACUGUGACCAUGUCUGUGCAGUGCUGGUCUUCAAAAACGUCCCAACAUGUACUGCUGAGAGGCUCCAUCAGGUGCUAAACGUGCAGCUGAACAUACGUCCGGCCUCCACUGUUGGAGUUUUGUUUGCACUCGUGCACCAAGAUACUGUGCCAUUCGCCAUCUCCAUUUCUGACUAUCAUUCUGGAAAGAUGAAGUGGACGCAGACGUUUCUCUGGUCUCCACACCAGUUUCUGCCUCCUACGUCGGCUGCAUGGACGUCACCGUUAACGGCCGGCUGUUGGACAUGGACGAGGCCCAGCACAAGCACAACGAUAUCCAUUCCCAUUCCUGCCUGGUUCCCCACCAGUGAAAAAAAAGUACUAAUUUUGCGAGGACCAAUCGGAAGACAGGGCGGUCCUGGACCCAGCUUAAGCCUAGUCCUAGAACCGAAAUGCCUUUAAAAGGAAAAUUAGUUCAAGCCGAAGCUUGAUACGGUUCUCACUUAGCCACAUGCCCAACGUUUUCCCAAAGCAAAAACACUCUUUAAACUGG